AGAGUUUGAUCCUGGCUCAGAAUGAACGCUGGCGGCAUGCCUAACACAUGCAAGUCGAACGAAGGCUUCGGCCUUAGUGGCGCACGGGUGCGUAACGCGUGGGAAUCUGCCCCUUGGUUCGGAAUAACAGUUGGAAACGACUGCUAACACCGGAUGAUGACGUAAGUCCAAAGAUUUAUCGCCGAGGGAUGAGCCCGCGUAGGAUUAGGUAGUUGGUGUGGUAAAGGCGCACCAAGCCGACGAUCCUUAGCUGGUCUGAGAGGAUGAUCAGCCACACUGGGACUGAGACACGGCUCAGACUCCUACGGGAGGCAGCAGUGGGGAAUAUUGGACAAUGGGCGAAAGCCUGAUCCAGCAAUGCCGCGUGAGUGAUGAAGGCCUUAGGGUUGUAAAGCUCUUUUACCCGGGAUGAUAAUGACAGUACCGGGAGAAUAAGCUCCGGCUAACUCCGUG
rnacentral:rRNA from 1 species